UACCGCAUACGCCUGGAGGGGAAGCGGGGAUCGAAAGACCUCGCGCGAUUUAGAGCGGCCGAUGCCUGAUUUAGCUUGUUGGUGGGGUAAAAGCCCACCAAGGCGACGAUCAGUAGCUGGUCUGAGAGGACGAUCAGCCACACUGGGACUGAGACACGGCCCAGACUCCUACGGGAGGCAGCAGUGGGGAAUUUUUGGACAAUGGGGGCAACCCUGAUCCAGCAAUGCCGCGUGAGUGAAGAAGGCCUUCGGGUUGUAAAGCUCUUUUGUCAGGGAAGAAACAGCAGCUCUAACACAGUCUGCGAAUGACGGUACCUGAAGAAUAAGCACCGGCUAACUACGUG
rnacentral:rRNA from 1 species